GAUGAACGCUAGCGGCAGGCCUAACACAUGCAAGUCGAGGGGGAGGUUACUUUCGGGUAACUGAGACCGGCGUACGGGUGCGUAACGCGUAUACAAUCUGCCUUUCACUGGGUGAUAGCCCGAAGAAAUUUGGAUUAAUACCCCAUAGUAUAUAUGGACGGCAUCGUUUUUAUAUUAAAGCUACGGUGGUGAAAGAUGAGUAUGCGUUUUAUUAGCUAGUUGGAGAGGUAACGGCUCCCCAAGGCGAUGAUAGAUAGGGGUUCUGAGAGGGAUGUCCCCCACACUGGUACUGAGAUACGGACCAGACUCCUACGGGAGGCAGCAGUGAGGAAUAUUGGACAAUGGUCGGAAGACUGAUCCAGCCAUGCCGCGUGCAGGAUGACUGCCCUAUGGGUUGUAAACUGCUUUUGUAAGGGAAGAAUAAGGGCUACGUGUAGUUUGGGGACGGUACC
rnacentral:rRNA from 1 species